AAAACGAUACCAUAAUAGUAGGUUACUAUACAAGGGAGGUAAUUUGUUAUCUCGUAUCCAGGUGAGUAAAAUUAUCCGAGGUCUUCAACCGGCACUUUUACUCAUCGUGAUACACGAUAUCGAAUUAUUUCCCGUGUGCAGUAUGCUAUUUUACUUUACAAGCGAGGUA